AGAUUGAACGCUGGCGGCAUGCCUUACACAUGCAAGUCGAACGGCAGCAUGAUCUAGCUUGCUAGAUUGAUGGCGAGUGGCGAACGGGUGAGUAAUACAUCGGAACGUGCCCUGUAGUGGGGGAUAACUAGUCGAAAGAUUAGCUAAUACCGCAUACGACCUGAGGGUGAAAGUGGGGGACCGCAAGGCCUCAUGCUAUAGGAGCGGCCGAUGUCUGAUUAGCUAGUGUGAGGUAAGCUCACCAAGGCGACGAUCAGUAGCUGGUCUGACGAGGACGAUCAGCCACGACUGGGACUGAGACACGGCCCAGACUCGUACGGAGCAGCAGUGGGAUUUGACAUGGACGAAGCGUGAUCCAGCAA
rnacentral:rRNA from 1 species